UCCGGCGGAGCUCUUGCUUCAGCAGAUCCCUCUCUUUGCGAAUUCCCUGCAACACAGUGCGAUUCUCCUGAGCUCGACGCACCAGGACCCUUUGCUGAAAAUGUAAAUGAAAAGAACGCCAGCUGAGGCACAGCUCACCCAUUGUGAGGGAGACGUGAUCACACAUACCCAGCAGCUGGCCAAAACACACUGAGCCUCCAUCUUUGUCUAUCCCCAACUGUUCCAUCCUGAAGGCUCCUCGUACCAGCUUGACUCCCAGACAGAAACCCUCAUUCUUGGACAGAAGCAGACCUUCUAAGAGGAGGGACCUGGACUCCUGAAAGACAGAAAUGUUAAGGGGAGUAUUGAUGAUGUCUUGGUUUAACAAAAUACUUAGUCUCACAUUCAGCACAAUGUAAAGAAAUGCUCUGAUUUCCAGGAAUUAGAAUAUUAGCCUUCAGGUAGCACUGAUAUGUGUUCCAAAUCCAGGCGCCAUCUUUGUUAAACUUCUUCAUCAUCGCCGUGGUGACAAGAGAGAGGGCGGGGUUCAUGUAGGUGUACUCUGCAUCGACCAGGACUCGGACUUUGUUUACACUUGCCUAAAAAAAAAAUACACAAUCAGUCUUUAAAAUAUAUUUGUCACUGCACUAAAACUACAGCAUUAAAUCUAAAUUCAAUUCGGAGAUUGAAAAUACUUUGAUGCAGGUGUCCGAUGUAAUAAAAUUUUCCCAUGAUCCUUCACGUCUGUACCUCUCCUAUCUUGUUAAGGCGCUGCAGGCCACAGAGGAAGUGUGCAAUUUCAUUUCCAUCUAAACCAGGGAAGUUGAUUUGCUGAAAUAGGUAAUUUCAGGUGAAGGUCAAAUGUCUUUUAAAAUCACUCAUCCUCAUCAAUACUGUAAAUAUAUAUAUGAAUUGGGUAGAAGGAAGACAUCUAAUAAGAGUUAUUUUGGUGAACUGUGCACAUACCUCUCCAUCCAGUGCUCUAACUAGGAGAUUGAGGUCAUAUGGUUGUUGUGAAAUGAGGGUUGUCAGUUUCACCUUGAUACAGGAAGGACAGAUUCACACAUAUGCAAAUUUAGACAGAGUAAAACAAGAGCAGCUGUGGGAAAAUAAGGUUAUAUGAAUAGCCUUGUCUAUUCAUUUAAAAGAAACCUUCAACAGCAACAUAUCAAACACUAAAACGUGUGUUCAUAUCCCCCCUAUUUAAACAUCACACAGCCAAUAUUUGACUUAGGUCCACCAUCCAGUGUGUCAGGGUUCACAUAUGGCCUCAAAAACCUGGAUGUUUUUCUCAACUGGGUUUCGUUAUAACAAAAAUGCACAGAAAAUCAAUAAAAUACACGGGCAAAUACUAUUGGUGUCCCAGAAAAUCUAAUGGUAAUGCCCUCCUUUAUUGGAAAAUUGAAAGUCUUAUCAGGCAUUUCUUCCAUAAUAACAUCUUAUUUACAGUAAAUAUUAAGCAG